rnacentral:rRNA from 1 species
UACGAAGGGGGCUAGCGUUGUUCGGAUUUACUGGGCGUAAAGCGCACGUAGGCGGGUUGUUAAGUCAGGGGUGAAAUCCUGGAGCUCAACUCCAGAACUGCCUUUGAUACUGGCAACCUAGAGGCUGGAAGAGGUUAGUGGAAUUCCCAGUGUAGAGGUGAAAUUCGUAGAUAUUGGGAAGAACACCAGUGGCGAAGGCGGCUAACUGGUCCAGAUCUGACGCUGAGGUGCGAAAAGCGUGGGGAGCAAACAGG